rnacentral:rRNA from 1 species
GACGAACGCUGGCGGCAUGCUUAACACAUGCAAGUCGUACGGUAAGGCCCUUUCUGGUGUCGACGAGUGGCGCACGGGUGAGUAACACGCCAGUAACCUGCCCACAACUUUGGGAUAACGCUAGGAAACUGGGGCUAAUACUGGAUAUCUGCUCCUGCUGCAUGGUGGGGGUUGGAAAGCUCCGGCGGUUGUGGAUGGACUCGCGGCCUAUCAGCUUGUUGGUGGGGUAGUGGCCUACCAAGGCGGCGACGGGUAGCCGGCCUGAGAGGGUGACCGGCCACAGUGGGACCGAGGGACGGCCCAGGGGCCUAAGGGAGGCAGAAGGGGGGAAUAUUGAACAAGGGGCGCAAGCCGGAUGCAGCAACGCCGCGGGCGGGAUAACGGACUUAGGGUUGAGAACCGCUUUCAGCAGGGACGAAGCUUGUUGUGACGGUACCUGCAGAAGAAGCACCGGCUAACUACGUG